rnacentral:rRNA from 1 species
CAGCAUAUCUAUGAGCGGAGGAAAAGAAACCAACAGGGAUUGCCCCCAGUAACGGCGUAGUGAAGCGGCAACAGCUCAAAUUUGAAAUCUGGCCCCCCGGCCCGAAGUUGUAAUUUGGAAGAGGAUGCUUCUGGCGCGGCGCCGUCCGAGUUCCUUGGAACAGGACGCCACAGAGGGUGAGAGCCCCGUACGGACGGACGCCUAGCCUCUACGAAGCUCCUUCGACGAGUCGAGUAGUUUGGGAAUGCUGCUCAAAAUGGGAGGUAAAUUUCUUCUAAAGCUAAAUACCGGCCAGAGACCGAUAGCGCACAAGUAGAGUGAUCGAAAGAUGAAAAGCACUUUGAAAAGAGGGUUAAAAAGUACGUGAAAUUGUUGAAAGGGAAGCGCCUGUGACCAGACUUGCGCCCCGCGGACCACCCGGCGUUCUCGCCGGUGCACUCUGCGGUGCGCAGGCCAGCAUCGGUUCUCCCAGGGGGACAAAGGCCGCGGGAACGUAGCUCCUUCGGGAGUGUUAUAGCCCGCGGCGGCAUGCCCCUGGGGGGACCGAGGACCGCGCUUCGGCAAGGAUGCUGGCGUAAUGGUCACCAGCGACCCGUCUUGAAACACGGACCAAGGAGUCAAGCAUUGGGGCGAGUGUAUGGGUGCCAAACCCGCACGCGAAAUGAAAGUAAACGCAGGUGAGAGCUUCGGCGCAUCAUCGACCGAUCCUGAUGUCUUCGGAUGGAUUUGAGUAAGAGCCUUACCGCUUGGACCCGAAAGAUGGUGAACUAUGCCUGAAUAGGGUGAAGCCAGAGGAAACUCUGGUGGAGGCUCGCAGCGGUUCUGACGUGCAAAUCGAUCGUCAAAUUUGGGCAUGGGGGGCGAAAGACUAAUCGAACCAUCUAGUAGCUGGUUACCGCCGA